GUCCAAGGCAAAGCCUUGGGCAGCCGGCUGAGGAGUCAGAUCUGUUCGCGGUAGGCAUCCAGCAGGCGGAGGCUUGCGUGUCGAGACCCCACCAGGUGAGGCUGGUGGCCUAGAGGGUGAACUUUCUCAUCUUGGUCUUCACACUCUCCAUGGUCCCAUCCAGCUUCUAAGGGUGAAGCCUCCUUUAUGUAUCCCUCCCUCCGCUCUCCUCAGAAAGAAGAAGCAACCCAGGUUUCCUGGCUCAGGAGAGUGCCUUUGCGAAAAAACCCUGGGUCUCUUGUUUCAGCUCAGUGUUUUAACAGAGCCAAAGAGUCAGUUUGUCAUGAAAAAGCAUUGGACUAGGAGUCAAGAGUAACUCUUCACUAGCUUGGUAUUGUGCAAGUCAUCCUACCUCUCUGGAUCUUAGUUGCUUCAUCUGUAAAAAAGAAGAUAAAAAUUCUUUACCUGCCUGAAGAACCAUUCAGCCCAAAUAAGCAAAAUAAUAAAGAGCCUUAUUGGCUGGGUAUGGCAGUGCUUGCCUGUAAUCCCAGUGUGCAGAAGGCCAAGGCCAGAGGAGCACCGUGAUUUCAAGACCAGCCUGGGCUACAUCAUGAGUUCAAGGCCAGCCUGAGCUACAUAGAGAGACCC
rnacentral:lncRNA from 1 species